rnacentral:tRNA from 1 species
GCCUAGUUAGCUUAGUUGGUAGUGCGUCUGCCUUGUAAGCGCUAGGCCGCGGGUUCGAAACCCGCCCGGGGCG